AUGGAGAUUUUUGAAUUUAUUGAGAUGCAUUUUGCAUUUAAACAUAAUAUGUGUUCAGCUUAUUUUAAAUUUACACCAACCAGGUCUGGGAACAACUUUGGAUGGAUGGAUGGAUGGAUGGAUGGAUGGAUGGAUGGAUGGAUGGACGGACGGACGGACGGACGGACGGACGGACGGAUGUUAUCAGAAGAGAAUAUUUCUGAAAGUUUUACUGUAUUUUGUAACAUGACAAUGUUGAAUUUUAAGUUCCUUUCAGCAGAAAUUCAAACUUCCUGAUACAAACAGAACACAAGUUUAUUCUUCCUGAAUGUAUUUAAUCACAUCUGCUUCACAGCUUUUGGUAGAAAUAGAAUAAAUAGAGUUAAAUGUGUCUCCUCAGCAGCUACUGUAGUAGAUUCAAUAGUUUGUUUCCUGAAUAGCGUUGCUCUGUUCACCACACAGAAGAGAACAGAAAUAAAUAUCAUGAUCUGCUUUAGGCCUAGCGGUGCUGCUAACUACAACAUGCUGCUGUACAAACACAAGCAUGUGACGCCUUCAUUAAACAUUUCCUUCUAGUUACAGUCAGAGACGUUUAGAAACUAAUUCGGAAAUGAUUCGUUGGGUUCUCAACCUGACUCCUAUGUAGACUCUGAAGCUUCCAGCUAUAAAGUCUCUUUCAGUCAAUUUCUUCUGCUCCAGUUGAGACAGAAAGGCUUUUUUUUUUUUUUUAGUUUCCAUUAAUGACACGUGAAGAACGUAUGAGCUGGAGGAAAGUUUCUGUACAGGAGAAGAGUCUUUAAAUGG